rnacentral:rRNA from 1 species
CCUACGGGGGGCUGCAGUGGGGAAUAUUGGACAAUGGGGGGAACCCUGAUCCAGCCAUGCCGCGUGUGUGAAGAAGGCCCUCGGGUUGUAAAGCACUUUCAGUGAGGAAGAACGCCUGGUGGUUAAUACCCAUCAGGAAAGACAUCACUCACAGAAGAAGCACCGGCUAACUCCGUGCCAGCAGCCGCGGUAAUACGGAGGGUGCGAGCGUUAAUCGGAAUUACUGGGCGUAAAGCGCGCGUAGGUGGCUUGAUAAGCCGGUUGUGAAAGCCCCGGGCUCAACCUGGGAACGGCAUCCGGAACUGUCAAGCUAGAGUGCAGGAGAGGAAGGUAGAAUUCCCGGUGUAGAGGUGAAAUGCGUAGAGAUCGGGAGGAAUACCAGUGGCGAAGGCGGCCUUCUGGACUGACACUGACACUGAGGUGCGAAAGCGUGGGUAGCAAACAGGAUUAGAUACCCUUGUAGUC